AUUGCCCCUAGAGGUGUUGCAGACGUGACCUUAGUUUCAUGUCUGUGGCAUAGAGGGACGUGGCUGCGUCUACGCUCGGUGCCCAGCAUGUGGGUGAUAAGAAUGAUUACCAGCCAGACACC